CCUACGGGAGGCAGCAGUGAGGAAUAUUGGUCAAUGGACGAGAGUCUGAACCAGCCAAGUAGCGUGAAGGAUGACUGCCCUAUGGGUUGUAAACUUCUUUUAUAUGGGAAUAAAAUGUUCCACGUGUGGGUUUUUGUAUGUACCAUAUGAAUAAGGAUCGGCUAACUCCGUGCCAGCAGCCGCUGUAAUACGGAGGAUCCGAGCGUUAUCCGGAUUUAUUGGGUUUAAAGGGAGCGUAGGUGGAUUGUUAAGUCAGUUGUGAAAGUUUGCGGCUCAACCGUAAAAUUGCAGUUGAAACUGGCAGUCUUGAGUACAGUAGAGGUGGGCGGAAUUCGUGGUGUAGCGGUGAAAUGCUUAGAUAUCACGAAGAACUCCGAUUGCGAAGGCAGCUCACUGGACUGCAACUGACACUGAGGCUCGAAAGUGUGGGUAUCAAACAGGAUUAGAUACCCGUGUAGUC
rnacentral:rRNA from 1 species